rnacentral:rRNA from 1 species
ACGGGGUGCAGCAGGCGCGAAAACUUUGCAAUGUGCGAAAGCACGACAAGGUUAAUCCGAGUGGUUUGUGCUAAACAGACCUUUUGUUAGUCCUAGAAACACUAACGAAUAAGGGGUGGGCAAGUUCUGGUGUCAGCCGCCGCGGUAAAACCAGCACCUCAAGUGGUCAGGAUGAUUAUUGGGCCUAAAGCAUCCGUAGCCGGCUCUGUAAGUUUUCGGUUAAAUCUGUAUGCUCAACAUACAGGCUGCCGGGAAUACUGCAGAGCUAGGGAGUGGGAGAGGUAGACGGUACUCGGUAGGAAGGGGUAAAAUCCUUUGAUCUAUUGAUGACCACCUGUGGCGAAGGCGGUCUACCAGAACACGUCCGACGGUGAGGGAUGAAAGCUGGGGGAGCAAACCGGAUUAGAUACCCGGGUAGUCCCAGCUGUAAACUAUGCAAACUCAGUGAUGCAUUGGCUUGUGGCCAAUGCAGUGCUGCAGGGAAGCCGUUAAGUUUGCCGCCUGGAAGUACGUACGCAAGU